GACGAACGCUGGCGGCGUGCUUAACACAUGCAAGUCGAGCGGUAAGGCCCUUUCGGGGGUACACGAGCGGCGAACGGGUGAGUAACACGUGGGUGACCUGCCCUCAGCUCUGGGAUAAGCCUGGGAAACUGGGUCUAAUACCGGAUAUGACUCCAUGACGCAUGUUGUGGGGUGGAAAGCCUUGUGCGGCUGAGGAUGGGCCCGCGGCCUAUCAGCUUGUUGGUGGGGUGANGGCCUACCAAGGCGACGACGGAUAGGGGACCUGAGAGGGUGGCCCC
rnacentral:rRNA from 1 species